UGCGGGCGGCGGCGCAGCGAGAGGGUCCGGGGCGGUCGCGGUCGGGUGCGGGCGGCUCCGCGCUGAGGGGAGCGGCCGCGGCUGCCGAGCCCCGCCAGCGGGGUUUGCCUUUCAGAAAGGGUGAAAUAGCGGGAGAAGCGAUACGCGACCGAAAGCGCCACUUGGCAAGUUGUGCUGCCCGGGGGCGCGCUGGCUGCUGUCCCGGUGAGAUCUGCGUGCGCCGGCGGGGGGGCGGUUGGUGUUGCGUGUCGGGGCGGUGCCAGCUCCUGCGGCGCCGUGAGCGGGAGAGGUGUCGGAAAGCCGUGCCCUGGCCGGCGUUACCCCGCUGCGCCAGCCUCUUCCCUCACGCCGUCAGUUGAGCUUUUCACCCGUGUGGGAAGAGGUGACCGUGACUCCCCAAGGGGACAGCACCUCUGGGACCUGACUAGAUCCACAGGGCCUAGAGUGGGUCUGUUGUUGAAGCCGCCACUGCGACAUUGCUCACCUCAAUGAAGAAUGAGAAAUACAAAAGACAAAAGAUAGGACACAUCUCUCUGGAAACAAACAUUAGCAUUUCUAAUAUGUGAAAAUACAUUGAGGUUCUCUAUUCCUGCAGUAAAAUAACAUUUUCCUGAGGCUGCACACAGAAAUCUCAGAGCUUUGAGAUGGGCCCUCUGAUUUCCUUCUUCAUACUCCAUCUCAGCAUUUACUUGCUUUGAAGUUGCACUGUUGGUAGGCUCCCAGCUCUCAAAUAGUCACUUCUGUACUCUGCUGUAGCUUCCAUUUGAGUUGCAAACAUCUCACACUGGGCAAAGCUCAGCGAGCAGAGGGAAAUCAUGAAGCUGAGCACACUUCAUAGCUGAAGAGUAUGCACAAUCACUUGCUUAUUUUACACAAACAGGAGCACAGAAUGUAUGUGAAAUGAGAAGGGCUUUGCCUGUGUGUGACAAGAACUGGCUGUAUUGUUGACAGUUCUUACAUACUUCUUACCUCCUAUCUUAUCAGUACCGAUCUGUCACCCUUCAUGUACUAUACCAGUAUCUGAACAUGGAGAGAGCAGAAACACUUCAGUAUUCACAGUGACUUUGAUGGUGCUAAUGAAAUGGGAGUAGGGAAAUACCCUAAGUGGUAGACCUCAGAGAUAAAGGAAUGUCAAAUGCUAUGGGUUCUCUUGGUUUGCUUUGCAUUGUGACAGCCUAGAGAAAACUCAAGUCAACGGCAAGAGCUCAUUGUGUUAGGUGCUGUACAAACAUGUCCAUAGCCCUGAAAAAUCUUGCAAUCUAAAUAUGCAGAAGAAGGAGGAAGGGAAGCAAAGGCAUGGAAAAAUGCAGUUUUGCCUGCACAGAUGUGACAGCUUGGUAACAGAACUCAUAUCCCAUGUCUCAAGUUUGAUGCCACCUGAACACACACCAUAUGCUUCUAGUUAAAUUUCACCUGAGGAUGGAGAAUGAGCUUGGAACACUGCCAUCCCUGACAGUGCCUAGGAUCAACAGAAGCAUAUAACUAAUGAGCUAGUAACGGUUCAUCAGUAACCAUGAAGUGAUAGAGCGGAUUUCCACUCAUAAGGGCAAAAUGGCUAAGGGGGCUGGAACUAUUCUCUGGUGUGCAUUCAAAGUCAAGAGCCUUAUGAGAAAAUUUUGCAGCACUUCCCAUUCAUCACUGUCUCUGCUUCAGAUAAAAGGGUCUUAGAUGGGUGAACCAUCCUUCCUGUCAGACUUCACCUUUCUGAAGGAACUAUACUGAUAAGAAGAAGAAACACAGUGACCAGUGUGACCUAAGCUAAGGGCUGGAGUGCGUUCACUGCCUUGGCAUGAUAGUGACACACACACCUUGGUGCAGCAGAACGCACACCCUGCUGCCACUCUCUGUUGACCUGCAGGGGCCAAAACAGGAGUCAGUGGCCUGCUGGGCAGCUUAAAUCGGUGCAAAGACCAUGCUGAAGUCAAGGUUCAAAGUUCUUUGGAUUAGGGGCCUCAAAGCACAAUAAGAGUGGUUUCUACCUGAACAGGCAAGUGGAGAGGCUGCCUCACACAAGCCGUCUUGACCAGCAGGCUCAUGCACAAGUACUGUGGGAGCACAGGGUUUGGCAACAGUGCCAAGAGAGUUGGGAGGCUGAGAAAGCAACCAAACUAGAGCUGUCCAUACUUUCAUGAGAAUCUUUCCCCAACCAUGGCUUGCCCCUCAAAUAAAUACAGCAAAGCAACACACAGUCUGAAUCCCACAUGCUAUCUCAGUGGCACGUGCCUCUUGCUUUUCUCCCCACUGUCUCAAAGUUGGCAGCUCUACAUGGACCAUGCCCUGCCUUUCUAGCCACCAGAGUUGUCUUGGAAGUGAAUGUUCCAGACUUCCUCUAAAAGGAUGAAGCACAAUGAGAUACAGUUGCUAUAUGUUUGAUACAUUCUCUUCUACUUCUUAUAUCCUAAAUAUUGAGCAGGCCUAGAGCAACCUUAGCUUGAGUUUGAAGAUUAAAAUAUAUUCCAUCUCGUGCUAGCGUAUAAGGGAUGUCAUCCUUUGUAACAGGCUUAUGAGUGUGUGUUAAAGUGGGCUGAGGAGUUCUUGGGAAAUAUUGCUACUUAGUUGUAUUUGCAGACAAAUGUUCUGAAGUUGACAUGAAUGCAAUACACGGAUGUUUAAUAGGUUUGUGGGGUUUUCCUCUUUCUUCAUAUUGACCUUAAACAGUUUGGUUUUUUGAAAUAAGAAAGGUGUAGAUACAGCCCACAAAAUGGGCCAGACUGCCACUGUGGUAUCCAGGCCACACAUCUGCUAAACAGACUUGACAAAUUUGUCAAGAGCAGACAAGAAAAACUACAUACAACCUCAGCUACUAAUAGGAAAAACAAGGGAAAUAUUUUUUUGAACAUUUCUUCCAGAAAGAAAGCUCGUCUUUCCGAAUCACAACGUGGUUAGAAGACAAACAUAACUCAUUUGUAGGCAUGACUUUUUUUGCUGCAGAUCGCAGGACAGUAUGUUGUUAUGGCCCACUCUCAUUCUUCUUUCAUCUAAUCCCAUUUUGUUUGGACUAAUUCUGUCUGCUGCUCUUCAGAAAAAAGACUUUUGGAUCACACUGCUUUGCUGCUUGGAUUGAAAGAUAGGUGGGGCAAAUAUGGAAAAUGAAAUAUAUAGAAAGAACACUGAGAGCUGUGGAAGGAGAGUGUCCAUUCCUUUAAGGGUAUCUUGUCAAGAAGCCGUAAAUCAGAAGGUACAGAGAUGUAAACCUGAGUGACAAAUGAUAAGAGAAGUGGUGAUGAGAAUGAACAUGGUCAGUCACACUAACUGGGAACAAGUGUGAAGUGUGAGAAUGUCCAUAUUUUCAGUUAGAUUAUCUGAUUAAGGACUUUGAAAAAUUGUCAUGGUAAGGAAAUAGAGGAGGAAAAACACAGAGUCUAAUAAAAUCUGAGCAGUUAGCAUUACUGAAGCCAACAAGCAGAAACAAACCGGGUCAGUCACAUCAGCUGACGGGCCAUCAAGAAACCUCAGGCAAACCUGGGACUUUGCAAUGGAUAAGGAUGCACACCUGAAGGUCCAGGGUGCUGGAGCGGGUCAGUGGGACUACGCCAGCCAAGGAGGCAAUGUGUGGGGGAAGAGGGAGCAGGGAGGAACAAAGAGGUGGGGUAGACAGGCAAGGGUACAAGACGGGCCAGUUGCCUGUAAACUGGCUGGUCAGUGCACUUGCCUGGCUGAACCCUGUGCCUGAUGGCCACGGUCUCUCCUGUCUGUCCUUAACUACCUCUGCGUAACCUCGUGCCCUGUCCUGUGCAUGUGAGUGCUGCAAGGACUCCGUGCGAGCUGCGGGGAGCUGCGGGGGGACCGGCGUGAGGGGAGUGGGUGCCAGCUGCUGGGAUCAGACCAGGCUGUGGGCAACCCUGGCCUGUGGUGUUGGCUACUGGAGUGACUGGGGGGUCUCAGUGCCAGCGACUGGAGCAAGGGGAGUCUUUUAACCUCCAGCCACUGGGAUGGGUACAGUUUGUAUCCUGAAAACCAGCUGCUGGGGGGACUGGUGUGAGUGAGGGGCUCAGCACUGGCAGCUGGAGUGGGACCACAGGUCACAGGCUGUGUGCCUGGUGCCAGCUGCUGGAGGGAUGAGUGUAUCUUCCCAAAGGUACAUGUCUGCUGUGCAUGGGAGGAGUGUGGCAAUCUUGAUGCUGCACCAGCUGGCAAGCAGAGGGACCUUAGGUCUGGGCUGGGCUAUCAGUCGGGCAGAGUCCAUUUAUUUUGGGGGUCAUGCAUGUGUGUGAGGUACCUGUUGGACAAGUGUGUGAGUGCUGUGUGCCUGCAGUGUGCAUCAAGCUGGACCAGCUGGGACCUGUGGGGCUGGUAAGAAAAUGUCACUGAGAGGCUGCUGAGCCUGGUGAACUCAACAGGUUAUCAUCUCCGUUAUCAGCUCCUACUAUUCCAUAUAGGGUCUAAUGAUACUGUGGCGAAGCAACUCAGAAUGAUCAAAGGAGUGGGGGGACUCCUCACAGGAAUGUUAGUGGACCUGGAGCACAGGUAGUGGUCUACUCUAUCCUCCCAGUUAGAGGAAGGGAGGGGUUCAGGAAGGAGGAGGAGACAGGCUGAAAGGUGAAUACAUGGCUGCUGCCAUUCUCAAGGUUUUAGCUUCUAUGAUCAUGGAUCUACCUUUGGGGAAGCCAGGUCUGUUAGAAGCUGAUGGGAUUCACCCAACCAAGUGGGGCAAGAGGGUCUUCGCCAACAAGCUGACCAGACUUACGAACUUUUAAACUAGGUUUAGCAGGGAAGGGGAUGGAGUUUUGAGCAACAGAAAAGAGCCAGGGGCUGCUGAUAUAUCAGGAACCAACAGGGAAACACCUGUGAAAUGCCUCAAAAGAAUUAAGUUGUGUUCAUCUGAAAAGUUGAAACAGUUGACAGCCCAGGUGAAGUGCCUCUGUACCAAUGCACGCAGCACGGGUAACAAACAGGAAGAGCUGGAAGCCACUGUGCAGCUAGAAUGUUGUGGUCUGAUCUCUAUCACUGAAACGUGGAGGGAUGAGCCACAUGACUGGAGCACUGCAAUCAGUGGCUGUUCUUUCUGUUCUGUACAGAAAGAUCAGGCAAGGAAGGAGAAGCAGGGGUUUGCCAUGGGUGUAAAAAAUGGAUUGAUUGCACAGAACUGUCAUUGUAAAAGAGCGAUCAACAGGUUGAGAGUUUAUUGCUAAAAAAUGGGAGCCAAACCAACAAAAGGAAGCCUCAUGGUUGGUGUUUACAACAGGCUACCAGAUCAAGGGGAGGAUGUUAACUAAGUGUUCCUACUUCAGCUACAGGAAGGAUCACACUUGCAGGCUCUGAUUCCGCUGGAGGACUGCAACCACCCUGACAUCUGCUGGAAAAGCAGCACAGCAAGCUGUAAACUGUCCAGGAGACUCUUGGAUUGCAUUGAGGAUACUAUCUUUAUCCAGUAACCAUUACGCAUUGUGGAGCCCUGCUUUGCUGGGGAUGGCUGAACACCUGCCUGCCCAUGGGGAGUGGUUUAACCUCUGGGUAUGAUCAGCUGUCCUGUGCAUCCAAGAUGCUCAGAAGCUUCAGGGAUGCCUUGCUGGAUGUCUUGGCACUCACAGAGCACCUGACAUAGCUGUAAGUUCCCAAAGCUCAUCUGAAAGGUCUCCUUGCUGGAAACACUGCAGAGACAUUCCAUGUGGAUCUACACUCCCUGUGGGCAAGGUAGUACUAUCCACAUUGGGGUACUCAGCUCACAGACAUACAUCUGAAAUGUGCGUAUAUGUCACACAUGGCAAAGUAAAUAGCUAUUGUUACUAGCCCGUGUUGAAGCAUGGCUACCAGUGUACUUUGGGCAAACUUCUUGCCAUAUCUCUUUCCCAGAUAUUGCAUCAUAGUGUAUCAGAAAUGUAUGUAGAACCAACUCAAGACCUAUAAGGACUCCUCUUAAAGCUAGGUUUAUAUUUACUUACUCACUGACAGGGGUUCACAGUGCAGUUAAAAGAAGUAUUCAGCAUGGAGUCUUUCACUGUGGUCAUUUUUCAAUUUUAUAUCACAAGGUGCCUUUAAAUACUCUGUGUUCCCCAAAGGACAGAAAGGUACAGGAAAGGAGGGAGAAAAAACAGCCAUUUGACUAGGAAUAGAGGGAUUGUCAAUCAUAGUAACUAAAGUUGAGUUCCACGGGAAGAAAAGGGCUGGCUACACUAAUCCACUUGGAGCUAUAGCAUCAGCAGAACAUUAGCACUUUUUUGUCUAGGUAACAGAAUUUAUUGUUUGCUUUAUUUUAUCUUUCACAGGCUUUGUAUGCACAUUCUCAACAGCUGCACACUGAAGUAAUUUCUCCUAUCCUAGGCUGAAGUUUCCUGGAGAAAAUAAAUCAGAAAUUAAAAAAGUGUUUUUAAAUGACAGAAACUAUCAUUGGUGACUGUGUGGUUCUAAGGCAUAGAGAGAAUUUACAAGAUGUCUAUAAAAUAAGGACAUUCAGAAUUGACAGGCUUUGAUUCUCAGUACCUCUGGAGGCUGCAUUUCACUUAGGCAUAUUAGCAAGUAGUAAAGAAAUUAACCAUUCAUCCACUAAAAUCAGAAAGCACACCUACAGAGGCACUGAUUACACUGUGACAUUUAUCUCCUUGCUUGACAGAUCUACAGUAUCUCACUCAUACACAUGCAUUUUUUUGCUUUCACUUGCUGCAUCAGUUUGGUGAAGAUAAGUCAUUGAGAAAGGGUUCUGCCAAAUGGAGUGAGAACAUCCUGCUGCGGUAAUGGAGAACCUGCACUGAGCUUCCUUCUUUUCUACAGUUAGACCCUGAUACCCGUAUCUGCAUUCACAUGCAAAUGUCCGUUUGUACAGAGAAGGAAGCCUAGGAUGAGUGGCAAAGACUGCCAUUGCUCAUUUUACCUACUAGUCUUCCAAGGCUUUUUUAUUUAUAAAUGAAAAAAUGCCCAUUAGCAAGAGCAGGUCAAAUUCAGGUAUUAUGACUAAUAUAUACGCAUCUGCUGUGGAGUUGAGUGAGGGCCGAGGCAGAGUCAGAGGCGUUUGUACUUGGAAAGCAUUUCAAAAUGAAAUUUGAAAUCUUGGUGUGAUAAAGGAGUUCAGAUGACCUCACCACCUUCUGGAACUGAUAGGGACAUUCUCUAAGAAAAUUAAUUCCAGUGGGUUGAUUUAUGUUCCUGCUGGUGCUUGGUGGAUGGGUAUAAUGGUGUGUAAACAAGAAUGUGCACAAAGUUUAGGUCAAGCUGACCCACCCUCUCAAGUCCUUAAAUGACCCACUCUCCCAAGUACCCACCCUCUCAAGCCAUCAAAACUGAUGAAUGAAAGGACUUCUGACCAGGGGAGUCAACCUUGGGAAAGAGAGAACUGGUCAUGAUAGCACUGCUAUCUAAAUUAUGCAGAAAGAAGCCCCCAGGUGAGAAGGUUCUGGCCACAAGAGGAGACAAUCUGAUAAGGUGUUGCAAUCUACAGAAAAUUAGUUGAAAGCAGAACAAAGAUAAUAGUGGUAGUGGGAGAUUGCAACCUGCUCCCUCCGCCCUGCUGAGAGAGGGCAAACCUCUGCUUGGGCAGCCUGAAUAGCUGGGAAAAACCUCCAGAAAACCUCCAGCCAUGCUACCUGAGGCUGUGCGCUAGUUUGCAUUAGAAGAGAGAAACUUGUACCCAACUCUGUGUGUAAAUGAAAAUUAGUAUUUCCUGUACUAAUAAUGUGCAAGUACUCUGCUGUAUAUAAUGUGUGGCCUCAAGUAACUUGGUGAGCAUGUUAGGAGUAAAGAUCCCCCAUGCAUGCAGCUCUGCAACAAACCAGUGUCGGCUUUCUAGGACUGUCAUUUGGUUUGGAGAGUUUUCCUGGUUACGAUUUUUGGUAACACAUCUAGUGCGAGACUAAGAAAAAACCUCUUUGUGGAUGCAAAAGGAAAGAGGGUGCAGAGAAACCCUAGACAAUUCCAGCGUAUGCUUGACAAGGAAUACAAAGGAAUAAGCUAAAAGAGGACUGGGGUAAAGUAUUGACCAACAUCUGAGCAAUCAAGCUGAUUCUUGAUUCUUGUUGUAUUCAGGCAAGCAGAAUUUUAUAGUACUUAUAAAUAAACAGGUAUGCUGUUUUCGUUGUACUUCUUGGGGCGAAUUAAACAUGUUUUGCUUAAUUACAAAGAGAUUUAAUAAAAAAACAGAGUCCUGUUGUCAUGAGUGGUUCUGCAAGGGGUCUGCAAAGAUGCAGCAUGAGCUGAAUCCUAAUAUACCCUUGCACCUUCACCCAUCAUGUGAAUGUUGGCAUGGGGUGCCUCAGCCCCGCAUUGGGUUAAUCCCGCAGCCCCAUCUCUGUUUACCAAAAGUGCCCCUGAUCACUCCAAUGACACAAUCCUACAAGCAGGAUGCUUCUUAUAGCUUGAUUAAAGGAAGCGGGGCAGGAGUCUGAGGAGAAUCCCUCACUGGCUGUCAUGCUUCAGAUAUAAUUUGUAUUGUAAUUUCUCUUUAACUGAGGUUGCGUUUCCCUCCUGGCCAGUACAGCCCUGCCAUAUCUCUCUCAGAAUAGUAGAUUUUCUGGAUGGAUUUGGUCAAACCAAUGCCUCUUUGCCUGAGGCAGUUGGAAUUACUAUCUACAUGUUGACUAAGUUAUUGGUCUGCUUUUCCACUGAGCACUUUGAAAGCCACUCGGCUGGGCAGAUGAAUGAGACAUAUUGGAAGACUCAAACUCAUCAUUCAGUAACUAAAACAAAAUGUAAUUUGUGACUUUAUUAUCACUUCUUAUAAGCAGCAUAGUUUGAUAGUGGCUGGUGUGAAAAGAGAAAAAACAAUUCCCACCCCUCAGAAUUUUGUUAGAAGUCCUGAUUUGCACCAGGCUAGAGGGAGCGACAGUGCAGGGCAAGGUAUUGUUGUAACUUUAUGACUAGAGGUCUGCAUAAGGCAGAACUGGGGAGGGUAUAUGCUUGUGUAAGGGGUUUUGUGACUGAAAAAGUAAUAUAUCCAGACAGUGAGGAGCAAAUAUUCACAAGCAUCGGUUCUCAUUUGUGGAUCAAUAAGCAUAUACAUCUUCAGGGACUCUGAAGGCAGAUUGCAUAAGAUAACAAAAGAGAUUGUGGAGUGUCUGCAAUGGGCAGAAGACUUUCCGUAAAGAUGAAAUCAAAGAGGAGUUGACAAUUGGAUGUGGAGAUUGGAGAGAGGAGAACUCAGUUGGUGUUUUACAUUUGUCAUGCCAGGACAUCAGACUCACUCACUGAAAGGACUAAGGCUCUGAAAACAAGGAAGAUGUUGUGAGUACCUUGGAUACUUAGUUCAACAAAAGAGGUUCUGGAUGGUUGUAAGAUAAGUAAUGGGUGUAAAAUAAGGGAGGACUGAGAUAAUUUCAUGGCAGAGAACUCAAUCUUCAGAACGGAUAGACCGGACCACAGAGAUAAGAAAGUUACAAGAGAAUGGCAACAGUAGCCUCGAAGGAUCCCAGAACUGAGUUUGCAGAAGUAAAGGUCAAUUGGUGGGCGCCGUGAAGAAGACUACAGGCCUUCACCUGAAGACCCUGACAACCACCCAAAGACCACCAGGGAAGAUGACUGUGCAUGCAGACCAUACAUAUACAUAUAUUGAUGAGUUCCAGGAAAUCUCAUGCAUAUGUAAAUGAGUUGUUGGAAAUCUUAUGGAUAUGUGUAACUUCAUGGUAUAUAGUCUCUAAAAGUUUGCCAGAUUGUUGGAGCACCUAUGGUAGAGCUAUUCUCAGUGCUGCCACAGCGCUGCAAUAAAGAAUGUCUUGCUUAGUAA